rnacentral:rRNA from 1 species
CAUGGAGUUUGAUCCUGGCUCAGGAUGAACGCUAGCGGCAGGCUUAACACAUGCAAGUCGAGGGGUAUAGUUCUUCGGAGCUAGAGACCGGCGCACGGGUGCGUAACGCGUAUGCAAUCUACCUUUUACAGAGGGAUAGCCCAGAGAAAUUUGGAUUAAUACCUCAUAGUAUGUGAGAAUCGCAUGGUUUUCACAUUAAAGUUCCAACGGUAAAAGAUGAGCAUGCGUCCCAUUAGCUAGAUGGUAAGGUAACGGCUUACCAUGGCUACGAUGGGUAGGGGUCCUGAGAGGGA